rnacentral:rRNA from 1 species
CCUACGUGUGGCUGCAGUGAGGAAUAGUGGUCAAUGGGCGCGAGCCUGAACCAGCCAAGUAGCGUGAAGGAUGACUGCCCUACGGGUUGUAAACUUCUUUUAUAAAGGAAUAAAGUGAGGCACGUGUGCCUUUUUGUAUGUACUUUAUGAAUAAGGAUCGGCUAACUCCGUGCCAGCAGCCGCGGUAAUACGGAGGAUCCCAGCGUUAUCCGGAUUUAUUGGGUUUAAAGGGAUCGUAGAUGGGUUGUUAAGUCAGUUGUGAAAGUUUGCGGCUCAACCGUAAAAUUGCAAUUGAUACUGGCAGUCUUGCGUACAGUUGAGGUAGGCUGAAUUCGUUGUGUAGCGGUG